rnacentral:rRNA from 1 species
UGCUUUCUUGCUGACGAGCGGCGGACGGGUGAGUAAUGUAUGGGGAUCUGCCCGAUAGAGGGGGAUAACUACUGGAAACGGUGGCUAAUACCGCAUAAUGUCUACGGACCAAAGCAGGGGCUCUUCGGACCUUGCACUAUCGGAUGAACCCAUAUGGGAUUAGCUAGUAGGUGGGGUAAAGGCUCACCUAGGCGACGAUCUCUAGCUGGUCUGAGAGGAUGAUCAGCCACACUGGGACUGAGACACGGCCCAGACUCCUACGGGAGGCAGCAGUGGGGAAUAUUGCACAAUGGGCGCAAGCCUGAUGCAGCCAUGCCGCGUGUAUGAAGAAGGCCUUAGGGUUGUAAAGUACUUUCAGCGGGGAGGAAGGUGAUAAGGUUAAUACCCUUGUCAAUUGACGUUACCCGCAGAAGAAGCACCGGCUA